UAAUUCCCUCAAUUCUCCCCGCCGCUCGAGCCAUGAAGGUCUGGGCGCGGCGUCACCAGUUAAGGCGCUCAAGAACCUGGAACAGAAUUUAGGGGAAAAAAACCACGGUCGGGGAUUUUAAGGUCGACCUCAGAGAACCCAGGCCCUCCCUCUGCUCGACGGCCCUUCGCCCUUUCCCGUUUCAUUAAUUUUUUUCCCCCGUCUCUCUGCGGGAGGGGGAAGGAGCGGAUAUCCGCACGAAUCCGGGUCGGUCCUGCGUAGACGGGGGUCACAUGUUUACCUGCCGCUGUUGCCGUUCACUCUCCACCUGUCAGAAUCCCCCACGUUCCACAUCACAGUCGUCUCCACGGCAACCAGCUGUGAUGUCACGAGCAGAGGAUGCUCUGCGGAGGCCCCUGACCGUCCCCUUCGGAGCCAAACGAUCCCCCCGGGGAGGGCCGGACCGGAGAAGCGGAGCGGAGCAUGACGGAGAAACUGGGUCGGAGCAAGAUGAAUAAACUGGGCCGGGCCAGAAACCCAGGGCCGGCGCUUGGCUCCACGGAAGAGGACGAUCUCUGACUGCCUGGACUCAUGCAGGAGGAACAGGAGUCCAUUCGGCGGCAGAAAGAGCGCAGGACUGGAAGUCCGGAGUCCGGGGUUCUAAUCCCUGCCCCUCCACUUGGCUGCUGGGAGACCUCAGCAUGGCCCAGUGGAAAGAGCCCGGGCUUGCGAG